rnacentral:lncRNA from 1 species
ACUAAAAAAAAAUGUUAUCAGAUUAAAUAAUUUGUUUUCAAACGAGUACUUAAGUAUAGGUAUUGAAUUUUUAAAUAUUUUGAAUAAAAUUAUUUUGAUGUUAAAUUGUAAGUUUAGAAGUUAUGAUGACACAACAGGAUGUGAUAUUAUUGAUGGUAUUGAGAGGCAUGAUAUAUCUUUGGUAAAAGAAAGUACAGUUGGUAAUAUCGAAACAAGCGGAACGGACAAACAAAAAAAAACAAAAAACAAAUUUACAUUGACCAAAUAUAAUCUAUAUAACAACAAAUAUAUUCUUACAUUUGUUAAUUGCUUAAAAAAUAAAAUAAUAUGUAAAAUAUUAUUUUCGGAUAUUAUAACUGACAAAUCCAAAAAUAAAAAUAAAAAAAAUGUAAUUAAAAAAAAGAAACAAGUAGAUACAAAGUACAUUUAUGACAUUUUUAAAAAAGAGUACACAUUUGGUGAUAAAAUUAUGAUUUCUUUACAACAUAUAUUAGAUAUAAAUAUAAGAACGUAUUUAUUUUUAUUUGUUUAUUUAUUUGUUGGGAAUUAUAUAUCAUAUAUCGAUCUAGAUUAUGUAUUAAAUAUACUUAUCUAUUAUGACAGGUAUAUUUGUUAUGACAAUGUACAAAUGCCUGAUGAUAUUAUUGAACAGGCAAAAAAUGACAUAUUGUUUGGUGAGUAUUGGGACACAUCAUUCGACACUAGUGACAAAGGCUAUACAAAACGGAAGCAUGAUUCUUAUACUGAAAAUGAAGAAGAAGAAGAAGAAGAAGAAGAGGAAGAAGAAGAAGAGGAAAAAGAAGAAGAAAAAGAAAAAGAAGAGAAAAAAUGGAAAACAAAGAAAAAAAAAGGUCACAUGUACAGUAAUACUACUACUUCAUUAACAGAGGAACAUGGUCGUAAACAAAAUACCAAAACAAAACAAUCUGCUUCACUAGUUACAAAAACAGAUAGCACCGAAGACAUAGAUCAAAAUGUAAUAAAGAAGAGCACAGACGAAGGAAACAACGUGUUAAUAAAUAUAAACGCAUGUAAACUAAUUUAUAUAUAUAUUUUAAUUUGUAAUAAAAAAUUUAUAAAUGAGUUAAGUAACAAAACGAGUAUAAAAGAAUUGAACGAAUAUUACUACCUCGGAUGGAAUACAAAGUACUACGAAAUGUUAAUAAACUAUCAUCAAAACAUUUUAAAAGAAGCAUACAUAACAAAUGUACUGUAUGAUAGUUAUU